rnacentral:rRNA from 1 species
AGUGAACGCUGGCGGUAGGCCUAACACAUGCAAGUCGAACGGCAGCACAGUAAGAGCUUGCUCUUACGGGUGGCGAGUGGCGGACGGGUGAGGAAUACAUCGGAAUCUACUUUUUCGUGGGGGAUAACGUAGGGAAACUUACGCUAAUACCGCAUACGACCUACGGGUGAAAGCAGGGGAUCUUCGGACCUUGCGCGAUUGAAUGAUCCGAUGUCGGAUUAGCUAGUUGGCGGGGUAAAGGCCCACCAAGGCGACGAUCCGUAGCUGGUCUGAGAGGAUGAUCAGCCACACUGGAACUGAGACACGGUCCAGACUCCUACGGGAGGCAGCAGUGGGGAAUAUUGGACAAUGGGCGCAAGCCUGAUCCAGCCAUACCGCGUGGGUGAAGAAGGCCUUCGGGUUGUAAAGCCCUUUUGUUGGGAAAGAAAAGCAGCAGGUUAAUACCCCGCUGUUCUGACGGUACCCAAAGAAUAAGCACCGGCUAACUUCGUG